AUUGAACGCUGGCGGCAGGCUUAACACAUGCAAGUCGAGCGGGGUGAUGGUGCUUGCACUAUCACUUAGCGGCGGACGGGUGAGUAAUGCUUAGGAAUCUGCCUAUUAGUGGGGGACAACAUCUCGAAAGGGAUGCUAAUACCGCAUACGUCCUACGGGAGAAAGCAGGGGAUCACUUGUGACCUUGCGCUAAUAGAUGAGCCUAAGUCGGAUUAGCUAGUUGGUGGGGUAAAGGCCUACCAAGGCGACGAUCUGUAGCGGGUCUGAGAGGAGGAUCCGCCACACAGGGACGGGGACACGGCCCAGACUCCUACGGGAGGCAGCAGUGGGGAAUAUUGGACAAUGGGGGGAACCCUGAUCCAGCCAUGCCGCGUGUGUGAAGAAGGCCUUAUGGUUGUAAAGCACUUUAAGCGAGGAGGAGGCUACUCUAGUUAAUACCUAGGGAUAGUGGACGUUACUCGCAGAAUAAGCACCGGCUAACUCUGUGCCAGCAGCCGCCGUAA
rnacentral:rRNA from 1 species